CCGAGGAGUCCUGGCCGUUCGCGAGUCGUAGGGGCCCAUUACGAACCCCGGAGGCGCAGCGAAAGCGAGAGAGCGUGUUGGAGGGCACCGGAUUUGGAGAGGGGUUUCGGCCUCGAUCCUGCUGGCGCGACGAGUUUUAACUUUCCGUUGUCCGCCCCGCGUCGGCCGUCAUCGCCGUAGUCGUCGGAUUUUCCCCUCCGGGGGAGAUGAUGUUUGUGGCUGCGGCGGGUCGGCGUGCGGGUUGUGACCGCGGCGUCACCUUCCUCCUUCCGCCCGACGGUGAGAUCCCGCGGCUCGAACCGCCGUGGGCGCAUCACCCCCGGGUCGGUUUCCGAGUACGACUCGGCCGACUCAGGCGUAGCGAGCGACCAGGGACCCGAAAGAUGGCGAUCCACGCCCGGUCGGGAUGAAGCCAGAGGAAACUCUGGUGGAAGUCCGAAGCGCCUCUGACGUGCAAAUCGAUCGUCGGAACCGGGUGUAGGGGCGAAAGACCAAUCGAGCCNUCUA
rnacentral:rRNA from 1 species